GUGACCUUUGAGGAUGUGGCUGUGAACUUCAGCAAUGAGGAGUGGACUUUUCUGAGUCCAUCCCAAAAGAACCUCUACAGAGAUGUGAUGGGCGAAAUCUUUAGGAACUUGACUGUGAUAGGUAUUUCUAUGUCUACAAUUCAGGAAGACUUUGGGAUAUCCAGGAAGCUGAAAAAGAAUGCAAAAUUUACUGGAGAUACUUAAGAAAUGAAAAGCUAGGGAAAUCCUAUGGACAUACACCUUGGAAUCAAUGUAAAGAAGUAUUCCUUUGUACUGCAGAAGGUAUGGAUAGUUACUGUUGUAGUCAGGGGUGUGCACAGAGAACAAUUGGAUCAAGACAAAUGUUUAUAAUAUUAUUUUUAUAAUAGUCACCGGGAGUUAACACAGGAAACUGCAGGGAGUCUAUCCACAGUCUUUACAUACAUAGGGAUUCUCUCCAGUGUGAAUUCUAUCAUGUUGCUUACAAUUUCCAGGUUGGGUGAAACCUUUUCCACAUUGCUUACAUACAUAGGGUUUCUUGCCAGUGUGAAUUCUUUCAUGUAUUUGACAAUGAAUCUUACUGCUAAAAGACAUAGAUUAUUUAGUCAAGAGCAUAAACCCCAUAGCAAUGUCCCACAUGAGUCCAGAUAAAAAUCCAGAGCUCAGGACAAUGCCUACUAUUAGUCCAACUGGAGGUCCAGAGCACAAAAGAAGGAUUCAUGGAGUGUCUUUUAUGGAUUCAUGCUGGAAAGACUCAAGGGUCAGUGGUGGAAGCUAGAAAGUCUAUCCCAGCUGGAUGAUGGAGCUGUGCUAGUGGGAUGAGUGUUCUAUGCUGGAGCUGAGAAGUCAAACUCACAAGGAACAGGUCUAUUCUGAAAGGCACCACAGCCGUCCUCAGUGACACAGAGGCCCAGAGCUCCUCCGAUGAGAAGCACAGUUGAGUACAUGCCUGGAAGCAGUGUGAUGAGCUCAUUCUGGAGACCAAGCAGCACAUGUCUUCCUAUCCAAGCCCUUCCCAGCCAAGAAGUAAUGCUCAAUGUGAGGACCAAGGCUUCUUCAGGAGAACCAACAGCUCAGACAGCAACUCGUAGGACAACCCACAAUGCUUCCUUAAUGCCUCAACCCUUAUCACCUCCUUUGUUCUCCUCGUAUUUAUCCUGGCAACUUACCUCAGGUGGAACACCUUUGCUCAAUGCCAUGCUGAUGUAAUCCAGCUGACAUUCAGUUGACCACCAGUUCUUAAUGCAAAACAGUAUCUAUGUACUUAAUGUUUUGUCUUUAAAACUUAAUUUUCAU